rnacentral:tRNA from 1 species
UGUAGCUCAGUGGUAGAGCACUUGCCUAGCAGGCACGAGGCCCUGAGCUCAAUCCUCAGUA